rnacentral:misc_RNA from 1 species
UUGGACUUAUGUAUCCAGGCAUACCAUUUUUUUAGGAAUCCCGGUGUAAUCCUCCUGUUAAGGGUUGGCCAAAGUGAAAGUCUUUCUUCGACUUUCUCCCUUGGGCAUUUAUUGAACGCCUCGCCUUUGAAUUGACAAACUUUAAUCCUCUUGUCGAGUUAUAAGUUGAUGUCAUGUUUGUCAAACAUGAGUUUGAAAGUUAUAAGUUACCUUCCUUCUCGAAAUACCGAAGAGGGGAGAGCAUUGGCGGGAAGCGAUAAUGCAUUGACCAAGGCCGAUUUCCUUUGGCUUUUGAGUUUUGUUCUUUUGUUUUAUGUUUUUUUAUUUAUAAUUUCUGUUUUUCAUCGAUAUGGGCAUCCAGGGCCUUUUGCCGUUUCUGAAGCCGGCUACCCGACCGGUACACGUGAAAGAGUUUUCCGGAUGCACUGUGGCGAUAGAUUCCUACUGUUGGCUCCACAAAGGGGCCUUCUCGUGUGCUGAAAAACUCGCAAGGGGAGAAUCAACAGACCAGUAUGUCGUUUAUUGCAUGAAAUUUAUUAAAAUGCUUCAAUCUCAUGACAUCACACCUAUACUUGUAUUUGAUGGCCGGCACUUGCCUGCGAAAGCUGAAACGGAAAAAACCAGACGACAGCGCAGGGAAAUGAACAGAAGGAAAGCCGCCGAGUUGUUGAGACAGGACCGAGCAAAUGAGGCAAGGAGUUUGAUUCAACGAUGCGUGGACGUGACUCCAGAAAUGGCCUCAAACCUCAUCAAAAAAUGUAGGUCUGUUGGAGUAGAUUGCAUCGUGGCACCGUAUGAAGCCGAUGCUCAACUUGCUUUCCUAAGCCUCAAUGGUAUCGCACAUGUCGUUAUUACUGAAGACUCAGACUUAAUUAUAUUUGGUUGUAAACGGGUAAUUUUUAAAAUGGACUUGGUAGGCAAUGGAUUGUUAGUGGAACAAGAAAAAAUUCCAUUGGCGAUGAAACAGAGGCCAGAACAAUUUACAAUAGAUAAAUUUCGACACAUGUGCAUUCUUUCUGGCUGUGAUUACCUCCAAUCCCUCCCUGGUAUCGGCCUUCAAAAAGCCCUUAAAUUUAUCAAAAGAACUGCCGAAACUGAUAUAAGUAAAGCGUUGACAAGGCUAGGUGCCCAUCUAAACAUGUCUAGUCUGGUCGUGACUCCAGACUAUUGCGAAAAAUUCCUCCAGGCAGAACUCAUGUUCAAACACCAGCCUGUUUUCGAUCCAAUAUCCAGGAAGGUCGUACCAUUGACUCCUAUACCAGAGGGGAUGAGUGCCCCACUGUCGAAUAAUCUAUCGGACGAGACCAACUACCAACUCGCUCUGGGAAAUCUGGAUCCAUUCAGUCUUAAUCAGAUAGAUAAUUGGGAUCCUGACAAACAAACUGGAGUGAAAACAAAUAGUUGGCAAGCUUCUACAGUCAUAAAAAAUAGUGUAUGGUCGAGUGGUUUUCACAUUCCAAAGCCACUUUCUCCAAGAAAGGAUCCAAGAGAAGUAAAAAGGACGACGACACAGGGUAACUGUGUAGAACAGAAUGUUGACGUAAUAAUUAACAAAAUUUCUGUGUUCAAUCAAAAAAGUGCAGAAGAUCAAGUUAAUGAACUCAAGGAAUUAUACACCAGAUCGCCCCCAAAGAAAAAAUCCUGUCUGGACGUUCAUCUGGAAGAGGAAAGAAACGAUUUGAACACCACGAUGAUAGAAGAUACUGAAGAAAGCCUUGAUGAAGCGAUUGCAUCUACUCUGGAUAUUAUAAGCCCAUCUCCUGAGAGAAAAAAGGUGAACCCAUUUUCAAAGACUCCAAAUGGCAAGGUUAAAUCAAAACCAUCGCCCUGUCAUAGUGGUCUUGAAGGAAUGGCUAGGAAAGUUAAAAGAACUAUAUUGGACGAGAGCACUGUCAUUCGGAGCAGAUUUUGGCAUUUCGCCAUUUUUAGUGGUUGGCCUGUGUUUUGUUUUUUGCAACAAAUCCAGAUCCUCCCACUGACUCAGAGGUUACAAAACCAGAAGAAAAAGAAGAGGAUUUUGAUAUUCUUGCGAUGAUAUUGGACGAUAAUGGGCCAGAAGAAAAAAAAGAGAAAAAAGAGAAUGAACGAAAAAACGUAUUUUCGACUGUGAAACAGUCACCAAGCAAUAAUCUCUAUAAUAAUUUCAGCGUCAAAAGUGAUCGCCCGAGCUUUUUAAAAGUCAUAGACUCUAUGAGUAAGUUUAUUACAGAGCAGGAAGAAACUAAGCCAAAACCGUCGCCUAAAUUUAACGAUAAAAGGCGGCAAAGUUCGAUGUCAGGCUUUGUGACAUCAGGGCUUGAGGCUAAAAAUGUAAAAUUAACUUCCCCUAAGGUUGUAAAAAGUGAAGGACAAAGACUGAAACCUACCCUCCAACCUGCAAGAGGAGUCGGACUUAAAAG